rfam:Triticum aestivum genome assembly, contig: Triticum_aestivum_CS42_TGACv1_scaffold_642011_T_1DL-0.259630_7DL-0.185270
UGGCAGUGAUUUGAUUCUUACCCGCGCUUCUGAUUACUCCAUGAAGUACAAGGGAAAACAUGGUUGAAUUUCUUAAUAUGAGCCA